AAAAAAAAAAAAAAACUUUAAGGGUGGUAUGAUUAUCGUUCACCCUUAAAGUGCAAAUAAUAAUAAAAAAUAAAAAUUUACAUUUUAUAAUAUUAGUGUUGCAAAAUUGACACAAGUUGUUGAUAGUUGAAUUUUUUUUUUUUUUCAUUUACAUAGAUAUUGUUUUAAUAAUUUUUGUGUCAGUCAUUAUACCACCUGAAAUUUUUGCAACGUAUUCAAACAAAAAAAAAAAACACAUACCUACGCUAUUUUAUUCUCCGGAAAAUCAUUAAAUAUUAUUUGUUAAAUGUAAAUUUGCAAUAAAUAUUAAUGGUGAAAAUAUAUAGCAUACAAAAAGUGUAGUGACAGCAAGAAAAAAAAAAAAAUAUUCUCCAUGGAGAUUGAAAAAUAUAUUCAAAACAAAUAAUAGUGACAAUGAUAAAUCGAGAAUAUUGCAAAUCAUCAAACACCAAGGUCUUGUAUUUACUGUCAACAAAAUCAACAAUAAAUAAACAGUAAAUAUUAAAAUAUAAAAAUUAAAAAAUAAAAAUAACAAAAUAUUAUAAUUGUGUUAUUAAUUAAAGAGACAAUAUUAUCAUUAAUCAUUGGUGAUUAAUAAUAAACAAAAAAAAAAAAAAUAAAAAAAGGUGUAAAUCGAAUGGUGAUGCGGGGAUGUGGAUUCGUUUUGAUCCACUUGGAUGGCGAGAAGGCUGUCGUAAUUGUCAUUCAGCACUAGUUAUAAUAUUUUGGUGUUCAUUAAUAUAUAUAACUGAUGCCGCAAAUAUACCUGAAAAUACCGGUACAUCGAAAAACAUUUUGCCGGCAUCGAAUAAUGAUUAUAAAUGUAACAAUGUAACAAGCAAACAAUCCAACGAUUUUGAUACAGGUUUAUCAAUCGUUAGUAAUGAAUUUGCUUAUCCACUUUCACCAAUAGUGCCUCCAAAUAUAUUUAAAGAAUUUUUAACAUGCAAAAAUUUCUAUCAUGCAUUAAAUGUUAAUCAUAUAUAUUUUCAAUUGGCAAAUAUAUUUUUUCUUUUAUCACAUUUAGCACCAAAUAGUAUACAUGGUGUAUUAUAUUUACGAUGUACAUUACUUAUUGGUUGUUCAUUUUUAUCAUUAUGGGGAUGGACAAUUGCAUGUUGGAUUGAUAUUGCAAUAUGGAAUUGUUUAUUUGUUGCUAUUAAUUUUAUUUAUGUAUGCACAUUGUUAUAUCGUUUACGACGUAUUAAAUUUACAAAAGAAGUUGAACAAGUUUAUAUUGCUGUAUUUAAACCAUUACGUGUUACAAGACAUCAAUUUAAAAAAGUACUUAAUUGUAUGAAAGCAAUACGACAAUUAAAAUAUCAAGAAGUAUAUGCACAAGAAAAAGUUACUAAAGUUGAUUCAUUAUCAUUGGUAUUAUCUGGAAAAUUAGUAGUAUCACAAAAUGGUCGUGCAUUACAUAUUGUCUUCCCAAAUCAAUUUCUUGAUUCACCAGAAUGGUUUGGUGUAUCAACAGAUGAAUAUUUUCAAGUAUCAAUAACAGCAAUGGAGGAAUCUAGAAUAUUACUUUGGCACAGAGAUAAACUUAAAUUGAGUAUUAUUGGUGAUCAAUUUUUACAAGCUAUAUUUGAUCAUAUACUAGGUAGAGAUGUUGUUAAAAAAUUAUUACAGGUAAGUGAAACAAUGUCAGCAAGUGGUCAUAUACAACAGAAUGGUCAAAUUGUUAGUUUGGGUCUCAGUGGAGGUGGCAAUAUGGAUACUGAUCCUGAAAAAAAGCUAUUUGUUGUUAAAAAAACUGGUGAUAGUCAUGGAAUAACUGCUCUUAUUAGUCGUCAACUUCAAGAGGAAAGAGUGCCGCUGCUGUAUACGAGUCCUGAUGUGUUGAACAACGCACUGCAUCACCUUAAUCACCUUCAUGCGCCUCAUGUACUUCCUUUAAAUCCUGGAAAGGCAUCCAACUCUGAAUCCUUGCAUUCAAGUAACAUCGUAUCCUAAAUAAUCAACGUUUAAAUAAUUUACAUGUACAAUUUAUCCUCAAUGUGUACAUUAAAAUUACAAAACAAAACAAAUUAUUGAUGUGUGUUAAACAAAAUCGAAAUUAAACAAAACAAAAUUAUAAUAAAAAGUAAAUAACGUACGUGCCAUAAGAAAAUGGAUAAAUCAUUCUAUUUUUUCUUCCUCAGUCUAAAGCUGGUGGUGAUCCAAAUGCCUGGCGCUUGGGAAGAAUUGAAGAGACUGAUCAUGAAACACCUGUUUAAUACUCGGCCCACCAGUUUGAUCAACAUCCAAUUUGAGUAAAUUAAUUUUUAAUAAAUAUUUAACAUAUUGCUGCUACUGCUCAACAUUGAUGGAUGAUUAACAAUAUUUUCAAAAACUAUUGAUUAAUAUUUUCUCGUUAAAAUCAUCAACAUCAUCAUCAUCAUAACGAAAAAAAAAUUGUCAAGUAUGUACAAGUGUUUUGAGACGUAUUCAUUUUGCCAUAAGUCAUAAAACAAUCAUCGUAUCAAUUGAAUUUCUUUUUGUUUUUUUUUUUUAUAAUUAAUUUUGUUGUCUUUUUCAAUUGUUUGGAUAUUUAUUUAUAAAAUAUUCUACUUAAUGCUUCCAAUGUUUAUUCAUGUAUAUAAAUAUUUUUUUUUUAUAUGUAAUUUAUUUUUUUUUUUGG